rnacentral:tRNA from 1 species
GCAACAUAUUAAAAUGAUUUUGAAAGUCAUUACAGGUAUUUAAUUAUUACCAUGUUGUU